rnacentral:tRNA from 1 species
GGAGAGAUGGCUCAGCGGUUAAGAGCACUGGCUGAUCUUCCAAAGGACCUGGGUUCAAUUCCCAGCAUCCA